UUACGGCAAAGGAGAGGUCGAAAGAGUCAAGCUUGGAAGGGUCAGUCAGGCCUAUGUGUGGGCUCCCCGGGACCCUCACGUAAUUUGGGUUAAGCAUAUGCGGAUGAAAUAUUUUACUAUUUUGUGAAUUCAUUUGCUGAGGCGAUGGUAGCUAUUGGUGCGCACGUAUGCAUCACUGUGGCGAUGAUGCGCAGUCCCGAAUAAACGGCUUCCGAUUUACUUUAGUUGGCGGGAACCCACAGUCCAGCCCACAGCGUAAGCAGCGGGGCCCCGAGGCAGUUAACCAUUAUGAUCGUGAGCGCCAGCCACAAAGAAAAGAAAACAGCCUCGCAUGGCUGAUGACCCACAGGACCAGGCAAGACGUGUCACAAACAGAAGUCGCUGAAUGGACUUAAGACUGGCUGAGUCC
rnacentral:lncRNA from 1 species